GUCGAGAAUAAUUCACAAUGGACGAAAGUCUGAUGGUGCAACGCCGCGUGGAGGAUGAAGGUCUUCGGAUUGUAAACUCCUGUCAUCGGGGAGUAAGACCUGGCGGUAAAUAGCCGACAGGGUUGAUAGUACCCGAAGAGGAAGGGACGGCUAACUUCGUGCCAGCAGCCGCGGUAAUACGAAGGUCCCAAGCGUUGUUCGGAAUCACUGGGCGUAAAGGGAGCGUAGGCGGCGUGGUAAGUCAGAUGUGAAAUCCCGGGGCUCAACCCCGGAACUGCAUCCGAGACUGCCAUGCUUGAGGGUUGGAGAUGUAGCUGGAAUUCUCGGUGUAGCAGUGAAAUGCGUGGAUAUCGAGAGGAACACUCGUGGCGAAGGCGAGCUACUGGACAACAUCUGACGCUGAGGCUCGAAGGCCAGGGGAGCAAAAGGGAUUAGAAACCCGUGUAGUCC
rnacentral:rRNA from 1 species